AAGAAAUCAAAAUCAAUAUUCGAAUAAAAAUUGUCAUGAAAGAAUCUGAACCGUAGAACGUGAAGUUUAGCUCCACAUAGACAUGGUAGCCAAACAACAAAUCAUACAAAGAAAUAUAAAAAUUAUUAAGUUUGGUGGAAGAAAAGAUGAAACCGGCCUCCACAGUGGCUCUAUGCUUGUUACUCAAAAACGUCCUCCCCAAAAUGUCCUCGUGGGUCUGUAAGAUGCACUGGUUAAGCAGUCCGCUCAUGUGGCCUACCGGCUUCGAAUCAUGGGUCUGCCUCUUUAUAAACAUGCUAAAAUUAGUCAAUCGUGAAAGUACUAUAAAUCAUGGUAAGGAAAAAAAAAAAUCAUGCUAAGAAUCGUAUUAAUCUGAUGUGAUACACGUUAAAUUUGGACUAAUUUGCUAAAAAGAAAAUCAUUAAGUUGUUCAAAUUAAGCUGCUUUUAGCGUCCCCGGUGGAACAAAAAGUAUAACUAUAUGCUUAUAUUAAAUUUCAAAUGAAAGGAAACGCAGCUAGCAUUUUGUCAUUCACAUUUGCAUACUCAUGUUUGAGAAUAUUGACAUAACACGUAGUGGACAUGGUACGUUAUUUUCCAGGCGAAUGCCAACUUAGCAUCUAACUUCUAAUGAUAAUCUUCUCCAAAGUCAAACAUUUGUUUAUUAUAUUAGGUAUUUCUGUUAUUCUAACCAAUCAUUAUUCUAUAUAUAUGAGGAACUCAUAAAGAAAUUCAAGCAAAGCAUUCAAUCAAAAGAAGUAAUUACACGAAGUAAGGUACAGAAAUGGAAUUGAAAUUUGCAGAAGACAGAUGUGCAUGGCCAAAGAGAUCAACAGAAUCAAAGAUUUUAAGAACAAGAAGCCAAAAAACUAAUGUGAUGAGCAAUAUUUUGGAUGCAAUUGCAAAAGUUAAUAAGAAAGAUUUUUCAAGUCAAGAAAAAGGAGAGGUGGUGAGGAUGAAAAUUGUGGUGAAAAAAGAAGAUUUAAAGCAAGUUCUUGAAGCAUUAAGAGAUGGUAAUAUUAAUGAAAAUAGAAGCCAAAUUUCACCUUCUCAGGUUGCUGUUUUGUCUUUGGAACAACGCUUGAAUUUCAUGAGAAAAAGACAGCAAAUUAGAAAAGCCAAUCAAAUCAAGCUUAGAAAUAAUU
rnacentral:lncRNA from 1 species